AAUCCAUAGGUUAAUGAGGCGAACCGGGGGAACUGAAACAUCUAAGUACCCCGAGGAAAAGAAAUCAACCGAGAUUCCCCCAGUAGCGGCGAGCGAACGGGGAGGAGCCCAGAGCCUGAAUCAGCAUGUGUGUUAGUGGAAGCGUCUGGAAAGGCGCGCGAUACAGGGUGACAGCCCCGUACACAAAAGCGCAUGUGCUGUGAGCUCGAUGAGUAGGGCGGGACACGUGGUAUCCUGUCUGAAUAUGGGGGGACCAUCCUCCAAGGCUAAAUACUCCUGACUGACCGAUAGUGAACCAGUACCGUGAGGGAAAGGCGAAAAGAACCCCGGCGAGGGGAGUGAAAAAGAACCUGAAACCGUGUACGUACAAGCAGUGGGAGCCCCACCACCAAAGCAUUUGCUGUACCGCGUUGACGGAGCGAAGCGACGUC
rnacentral:rRNA from 3 species